UGUCUUUAAUAGUAACCAGCUUAUUAAAAAAAGCAAAAACAGUUAAUUAACAAGAGUCAAAAAUUUCUUUUUUUUCUUCUGCAGUAUUUUGUAUUUAUAAGCUUGCUUUAUGCCCUUAGUUUUAGGGGAAUUAUAUGGGUUUUAUAUCUUUAACUUCCAAGCAAAUACCCAUAUUUUUUCUUGAAAAGCAUAGUCAUCAAAUUCAAGCAUUUAUCUGUCGGAGUGUUGGGAAUUUUUCUAAACCGAGAUUUUUCUUUCUGUCUCUGAGCGAUCACCUCCGACCGGAGUCGUCGUUCUGGUGUCUGUCCACGUCCGGGACUGUCCGCGCAGACACGGAUGCCCGUGCCCCGUUUGCCCGUGGCUGUGAUUCUGCCGCUGCCGUCUGACACGUUUCUUCUGCAGAGGGGGAAGGAGUCACCCCGCCGUCUAGCAUGUGCUGUGAAUGCAAAGGCAUAGAUUUAAUCCAGCAUUAGUACCCAUUAGUGACAGAGACAAGCUGAAGGCUCCUUCCAGAGGAAGAAUUCCUUUCAUGAUGAUCUCCACCAGCUGCUCAAAAUGACUCUUCUUACAACCUCCUGAAAAAGGAAAGCUGUUCUUGCAAGAACUUUUCUCUAGUCUAAACUUUUUCCUUCUGAUCAGACAUCUGUUCUUCACCAUACAAUACUCCUCUGUUUCCUCAGUACAAUUAAAAAUACAAAUAUUAGAUUUUCCCCUCCUCCUUUUCUUUUUUAAUGAGCCCUGAAAUUGUGUAACUUGGUAAUUCUGCGCAGUGUGAAGACAUUGCUCUGUCUUCAGUAUGGGGGAUUAAUUUACAGCUAGACUGGCCCAGCGUAGCUGCAAACCUUGUCGAAGACAUAGAAAAGAAGAAGGGAAAACCUGUAAUGUUCUCUUCGUGUUUGAUAUCUGUACAGCCUUUAAGUUGAGGAAACACUUUUGUCCCUUCCCGUUGAAGCAGCGAAGUUGGUCCCCAGCACCCAUAGGAUGUGGAGAACAGAUAGAGGUACAAAGCUUUCCAACUCAGUUUCUGUAUUUUUGUGGCUCAUUCAGCCUCCCAUCUGCCCAUCUUCGAUUGGAAUUACGCUGAUAACAACAACAUUGAUUUUACCUACAAAUGAAGGGAUCUCCCAAGUUUAUUAAAAACAUAUUCAGCUGCAAUAACAAAUGUAAUCAAGGGGAAGGGAAAGGCACCUCAAGAAGACAACUCGACCAGCUUGAGCUUUGGAAGUGCCCCUCUCUCCUGUGACUGUACAGGGAAGCCAUCCUCCUAAAUUUGGCAAGCAGGAUAAACCCAUUGGGGAGAAUACUGGAAUAUUAGUUGCUGUUACUCAUUUUUUUUUUAGUGUUUGUUAAAGAGAGUUUCUAAUACUAGAAAAUGUUGGAUUGUGAUGGUGGAUAAUGACACAAGCAGCCCUUAAUAUUGUGGUAUUCCAAGUAAUGGCCUGCUGUUGUUCUCCACUUUACCUUCAGUGUAGUUUUCCUCAUGUUUUAUGAAGUACUAAACUUGGAAUAUGGCAUUGUCUGCCAUAUAAAAGUGGAAUCAGGCUUCAGAUGGCUUUUCAUAUGAGCAAAUCUCAAGGUAGUGGCUGCUCAAAUACUAGAAUUUAAAUAAUUAAAAAACAAGCAAAUGAGCAAAAUUAACCAUAGCACUUUGGAAAUUCAGGCAAUGUCUUUUCAGGAUUUGUUACCUCACAGAUUUCCAGUACUGGAAAAAUCCCAAAAUGCUCUCAUUGGAAUAAGAGACUUCUCAGACUGCCAAAGCUAUAAGAUGUUUGUCUCUAACUCUGAUGAUUUGCACAAUACUAUGUCUUUAAAGUAUUGUUGGCCCUGAGUCUAGCUAUCUUUUUUGUUUGUUUUUGGCAUUAAAGCAAGUCCCAGAUUUCA